CCUCCCCCCUUCGGUCUUGGCCGGCUUCCUAGGCUGGCCAGGGACCUCCGCAGAGGCGGGGCGGGCGUUGCUGGAAGGGUGGGACCGACACAUCCAGCGUCCCCCGCCCGCCAGCGAAGUUCCGCCCGGGCCCCUGCAGCCCUUGCCGCGGCCGGACUAAAACCGCCCCGGGCUCGCAGCUCCGGUCGCAGGUGGCUAGAACAUAACCCAGCCCAGCCGGCUUCUCGGGGCCGGGAGUGAGGCCGGGGGCGCCCUCAGGGAGCAGUUCAGCUCCUUGGUGGAGUCAGGCCGUGGAAACAAUAGGGGGCCCCGGCCGGGCUGGGCCGCGCCCGCGCGGGGCGGGUUAUACAUGCCUCGGAGCAGCGGGGAGCGAAGACGUCGGUUAGAAAAGCACGUGCGCGAGGCGGAGCGACCGCGAGGCGAGAGCGCGUUGGGAGGCGCGCUGGCUGGAGGGGCGCCAGGGGCAUUUGGCGCGAGGACGUAGGCUCCUGUUUGGGGCCUGGGGAGACAGGCUCUUAGGUACAUUCCUUGCCUGGACCAGAGAGCAGUGGUCUGAUGACAAAGAUACUGCGUUGGACAUGGGUACUUGAUCUUCCCCGAACUAGCCAAUUGUCCAGGUCACUUUGGUUUCUCAGAGCCAUGGAGUAGCCACACCUUGAGGUGAAGUCUUGCCAGGUUUGGGCAGUGGACCUGAACUGCAUCCUGAGAAAGGAGAUGUGGCAGAAAAGGAAAAGUGCGUGGUGGGCACACAGCCAUCUUUAGAAGGUUGGGGAAGCACCCAAGAGCUGUUGAAUGCUGCUUAUAAGCAACCAGGAAGUACCCAGAAAAAAAACUGCAAGUGGAGGAUAAGUGCAGACCCCCUUACCGUUUGGAGUGAAAUGAAUAAAUAAAAAAUUGUGGGGAGGGGGGUUAGAUUUUUUUAAGAAAAUUCCCUUUCAGUCAAGGCUGAAGGACUGUUUGAACUCCCUCUCCACUUCUGAUUUUUUACAAUGUCCCCAGAAUUUACCAGAUUUCUUUGAUGUCUCAGGGACUUGCAUUUUGAGCAAAUAGUCAACUUACCAUUUGUCUGCAGUGAUC